rnacentral:misc_RNA from 1 species
UUUCCGUAGGUGAACCUGCGGAGGGAUCAUUACAGAGUUCUCGCCCUCGCGGGUAGAUCUCCCACCCACCGUUAUCGUUACUGUGUUGCUUUGGCUGGCCGCCGGGCGCCGCUCGGCCGCCGGCUACCGCUAGCACCCGCCCGUCUGAGCAACAGCGCACUCAGAACGUUAAUGUCGCAAGAAUUCUAAAAAAUAGUUUAAACUUUCAACAACCGAUCUAUUGGUUCCGACAUCGAUGAAGCACGCAGCUGAUCGGAAGAACAAACGUCUGAACUCCUG